rnacentral:rRNA from 1 species
ACGAACGCUGGCGGCGUGCUACACUGCAAGUCACGGGGGCCCGCAAGGGCAACCGGCGAACGGGUGCGCUAACACGUGAGCAACCUGCCGCGCUCUGGGGGAUAGCCGGCCCAACGGGCCGUAGGUAAUACCGCAUACGUUCUUUGGGAGGAGUCUCCUGAAGAGGGAAACCUCCGGGGAGCAGCGAGCGGGCUCGCGGCCUAUCAGCUAGUUGGCGGGGGGUAAUGGCCCACCAAGGCAAUGACGGGUAGCUGGUCUGAGAGGAUGGCCAGCCACAUUGGAACCUGAGAAUACGGCCCCAGACUCCCUACGGGAUGGCAGCAGUGGGGAAUCUUGCGCAAUGGUCGAAAGACUGACGCAGCGACGCCGCGUGUGGGAGGACGCCCUUCGGGGUGUAACCACUGUUGCCCGGGACUGAAUGACCCUUUCGAGGGGAGUGACGGUACCGGGUGAGGAAGCACCGGCCUAACUCCCUGCCAGCCAGCCCGCGUAAUACGGAGGGUGCGAGCGUUGUCCGGAAUCACUGGGCGUAAAGGGCGCGUAGGUGGCGCGGAAAGUCGUCGGUGAAAGCUCGGGGCUCAACCCUGAGUCUGCCGGUGAUACUCCCGCGCUUGAGCUCACUAGAGGCAGAUGGAAUUCCGGGUGUAGCGGUGGAAUGCGUAGAGAUCCGGAAGAACCCGGUGGCGAAGGCGGUCUGCUGGGGUGAGGCUGACACUGUAUGCGCGACAGCGUGGGAGCAAACAGGAUUAGAUACCCUGUGUAGUCCACGCCGUAAACGAUGGGCACUAGGUGCUUGGGGGAGCGACCCCCUGAGUGCCGGCGCUAACGCAUUAGAGUGCCCCGCCUGGGGAGUACGGCCGCAAGGCUGAAACUCAAAGGGAAUUGACGGGGGCCCGCACAAGCGGUGGAGCAUGUGGUUUAAUUCGACUGCAACGCGAAGACCUUACCUAGGCUUGACAUGCAGAGGAAAGCCCUGAGAAACCAGGGCCCCUCCCUCGGGACUUCUGCACAGGUGCUGCAUGGCUGUCGUCAGCUCGUGUCGUGAGAUGUUGGGUUAAGUCCCGCAACGAGCGCAACCCCCGUUCCCAGUUGCUAACGGGUAAUGCCGAGGACUCUGGAAGACUGCCGGUGCCAAACCGGAGGAAGGUGGGGACGACGUCAGUCAUCAUGGUCCUUACGUCUAGGGCUACACACGUGCUACAAUGGUCGGAUACAGCGGGCUGCGAGCCAGCGAUAGGCAGCCAAUCCCUGAAAGGCCGGCCUCAGUGCGGAUUGGAGGCUGCAACUCGCCUCCAUGAAGCUGGAAUCGCUAGUAAUCGUGACAGCUACUGCCACGGUGAAUACGUUCCCGGGCCUUGUACACACCGCCCGUCACGCCAUGGAAGCUGUGGCGCCCGAAGUCCGUGUCGCACCCGCAAGGGGCCAAGCGGCCGAAGGCGAGCGCAGUGACUUGGGGU